rnacentral:rRNA from 1 species
CGCUGACGAGUGGCGGACGGGUGAGUAAUGUCUGGGAAACUGCCUGAUGGAGGGGGAUAACUACUGGAAACGGUGGCUAAUACCGCAUAACGUCGCAAGACCAAAGAGGGGGACCUUCGGGCCUCUUGCCAUCAGAUGUGCCCAGAUGGGAUUAGCUUGUUGGUGAGGUAACGGCUCACCAAGGCGACGAUCCCUAGCUGGUCUGAGAGGAUGACCAGCCACACUGGAACUGAGACACGGUCCAGACUCCUACGGGAGGCAGCAGUGGGGAAUAUUGCACAAUGGGCGCAAGCCUGAUGCAGCCAUGCCGCGUGUAUGAAGAAGGCCUUCGGGUUGUAAAGUACUU